rnacentral:rRNA from 1 species
AUUGAACGCUGGCGGCAUGCCUUACACAUGCAAGUCGAACGGCAGCACGGGAGCAAUCCUGGUGGCGAGUGGCGAACGGGUGAGUAAUAUAUCGGAACGUGCCCAGUCGUGGGGGAUAACGCAGCGAAAGCUGUGCUAAUACCGCAUACGAUCUACGGAUGAAAGCGGGGGAUCGCAAGACCUCGCGCGAUUGGAGCGGCCGAUAUCAGAUUAGCUAGUUGGUGAGGUAAAGGCUCAUCAAGGCGACGAUCUGUAGCUGGUCUGAGAGGACGACCAGCCACACUGGAACUGAGACACGGUCCAGACUCCUACGGGAGGCAGCAGUGGGGAAUUUUGGACAAUGGGCGCAAGCCUGACGACGCAACGCCGCGUGGAGGACGAAGAUCUUCGGGUCGUAAACUCCUUUCGAUCGGGAAGAACGCCUUCCGGGUGAACAAUCCGGAAGAGUGACGGUACCGAGAGAAGAAGCCCCGGCUAACUCUGUGCCAGCAGCCGCAGUAAGAC